CCUACGGGGGGCAGCAGUGGGGAAUAUUGGACAAUGGGGGCAACCCUGAUCCAGCCAUGCCGCGUGUGUGAAGAAGGCCUUUUGGUUGUAAAGCACUUUAAGCGAGGAGGAGGGCACUUUGGCUAAUACCCGAAUGUGUCGGACGUUACUCGCAGAAUAAGCACCGGCUAACUCUGUGCCAGCAGCCGCGGUAAUACAGAGGGUGCGAGCGUUAAUCGGAAUUACUGGGCGUAAAGCGCGCGUAGGCGGUUAUGUAAGUUGGAUGUGAAAUCCCCGGGCUUAACCUGGGCACUGCAUUCAAAACUGCAUAGCUAGAGUAUGGGAGAGGAUGGUAGAAUUCCAGGUGUAGCGGUGAAAUGCGUAGAGAUCUGGAGGAAUACCGAUGGCGAAGGCAGCCAUCUGGCCUAAUACUGACGCUGAGGUGCGAAAGCAUGGGGAGCAAACAGGAUUAGAUACCCCAGUAGUC
rnacentral:rRNA from 1 species